GGAGGUGUAGCUCAAAAUUCUCCAAUUAAUGGUUUGAGCACUUGCGUCUGGCAAGGCUAUCAGGGUUCGAAUCCCUGCAUCUCCA